CGGGACGGGUGAGUAACGCGUGGGUAACCUGCCUCAUACAGGGGGAUAACAGUUGGAAACGGCUGCUAAUACCGCAUAAGCGCACGGCAUCGCAUGAUGCAGUGUGAAAAACUCCGGUGGUAUAAGAUGGACCCGCGUUGGAUUAGCUAGUUGGUGAGGUAACGGCCCACCAAGGCGACGAUCCAUAGCCGACCUGAGAGGGUGACCGGCCACAUUGGGACUGAGACACGGCCCAA
rnacentral:rRNA from 1 species